rnacentral:sRNA from 1 species
AGGACAAAAAGGGGUCGACUUAUCCUCCUCCCCACUAAACUGCUGCCCACACACAGAGUCCUGUUGCUUAUGGCAAAAGAAUAACAACAACACCAUUGUAUUUGUUAGUUGGUUCACUAAUGGGUGAAACUAGAGAACAUCAUUCUCUUUCAGUCCCCAGCUCUGUCCAAAUGUUCAUGCCUUUUGAGGGAGCAUUUGUCCAACUCCUUCUAUUCCCAGAUGAGUGAGAACUGUCUUGCUGCAGGUUUUCAGCUGCAACUCUCUUUUUAUUCUUACCAUAUGCAGCAGGAGCCUGAGAUUCAGGGAGCAGAUAUUCCAGGAUUUUAUUCAAAACAAUGUCAUUAAGCUCUUGUGUUGCAAUUGAAUUAAGUUUCAAAAUAGCUACAUUCAGGUCACCUUAAAGGUUUUAUCAGGAGCCCUAAAGAACCAGGAAAUUCAGAGAAAAGUUUAGAAAUAUUUGCCAUUAAGUCUCCCUUGGUGCAAUACGUACUAUGAAUAUACUGAUGAUCUAGAGACCCCUGCAAUACUCAACUCUUCCAGAGGCACGUGGAAUGAAAAUUUUGUUCUUGACUAAAUGAUAUUUUCUGUUAACAACAACACAGAAUGUGGGAAGUUACUGGAGGAAAUCAAAUGUGCACUUUGCUCUCCACAUUCUCAAAACCUGUUCCACUCACCUGAGAGAGAAGCCUUGGAAAGAGACCUAGUACUUCCUCUGCUCUGCAAAGACUAUUGCAAAGAAUUCUUUUACACUUGCCGAGGCCAUAUUCCAGCUUCAUCUUUCUACAAAUCAAAAACUUGAAGAGGAAGGUACCCCGAGGGAUGUAUUUUGCUAAAAGAAGCCAAAUGCUGGAAGAAUUGGGAGAGAUAAAUAAUUCCAGAGACAUCUUCAUUUGUUCCCUAUUGCCCAAUGCAUGAAGAAUGUUUCCUUCAAACAACUGCGGAUGAGUUUUGCUUUUACUAUGCAAGAAAAGAUGGUGGGUUGUGCUUUCCAGAUUUUCCAAGAAAACAAGUCAGAGGACCAGCAUCUAACUACUUGGACCAGAUGGAAGAAUAUGACAAAGUGGAAGAGAUCAGCAGAAAGCACAAACACAACUGCUUCUGUAUUCAGGAGGUUGUGAGUGGGCUGCGGCAGCCCGUUGGUGCCCUGCAUAGUGGGGAUGGCUCGCACCGUCUCUUCAUUCUGGAAAAAGAAGGUUAUGUGAAGAUACUUACCCCUGAAGGAGAAAUUUUCAAGGAGCCUUAUUUGGACAUUCACAAACUUGUUCAAAGUGGAAUAAAGGUUGGCUUUUUAAAUUUU